AUGACUGCACCACGGAAGUCCUAAAAGCCUUUCUGUGAUACUUAUCAUCUGGUAGGAAGUGCAUUGCAUAAGAGAAAGGUCAGAGAAAGAAAUUGAUGAUCCCAGCUUGAAAGACUAAAUUGAGGCAGAUCAUCCCUGUGAUGAGAUCAUCCCGUGUACCACCGUUUUCCUCCUAGACGAUAGGAAAAUCAGAAGAGGCCUGUGAAAAAAAGGAUUACAUUUUACUCAUUUUUUUCUUUAGAUAUAUUUCCUUAUGCUGUGAACUGUUUUAAAGAAAAUUUUAUCAUCCAAAAUUAAAAUCAGAUGAAUAGUUUACAAUAAAAGUAUAUAAAAUGUAGUUAUGUUAGUAUGUUUUUAUUACAAAUGCAAAGAAAAUUUGGGGUUAAGUUUUUCAUAAAAUGAUACACUU